GACAGAGGCCUCGAGCGUUAGGCGGAAUCACUGGGCUUAAAGCGUGUGUAGGCGGAUCGUUAAGUGUCUUGUGAAAUCCCACGGCUCAACCGUGGAACUGCUGGGCAUACCGGCGAUCUUGGGCCAUUCAGGGGCGACUGGAACAAGCGGUGGAGCGGUGAAAUGCGUAGAUAUCGCUUGGAACGCCGAAGGUGAAAACAGGUCGCUGGGGAUGUGCCGACGCUGAGACACGAAAGCCAGGGGAGCAAACGGG
rnacentral:rRNA from 1 species